UGGCCCGACUCAGAGAAGUGUCGAUUUCGGAAGUCAAGGUAGUACAAACAUCGGCUGAAGAGAUCUUUUGCCUAAAUCCUGGAUUUUGUCCCGAUUCCUUUAUAAUAACGUUACUUUCAUGGGCAUGAGAUGGGACUUUUGUUCGCCAAAUUGUUUAGUUGGUUCAGUAAUGAAGAACACAAGGUGAUUAUUGUGGGCUUGGAUAAUGCAGGAAAAACAACAAUUUUGUAUCAAUUUUUAAUGAGUGAAGUAGUUCAUACAUCACCAACAAUAGGCAGUAAUGUAGAAGAGGUUGUAUGGAAAAAUAUUCAUUUUUUGAUGUGGGACAUAGGAGGCCAAGAAUCACUAAGAUCAGCAUGGAACACAUAUUACACGAAUACAGAGUUUUUAAUUUUAGUUGUAGAUAGCACUGAUAGGGAAAGACUUGCUGUAUCAAAAGCAGAACUGUACAACAUGUUAAAUCAUGAGGAUUUGAGACAAGCUGGAGUUCUUAUAUUUGCCAACAAACAAGACAUAAAGGGAUCUAUGAGUGUUGCAGAAAUAUCAGAACAAUUAAAUCUUACUUCAAUUAAGGACCAUGGAUGGCAUAUACAGGCAUGUUGUGCCCUUACUGGGGAAGGAUUGUACCAGGGGCUUGAAUGGAUCACCAAUCAUAUUAGGAAGUAGACUUGUAUUCUAUAUUUAAUGCAAAUAAUCCAAUUUAUUUUAUAUAAAAAGCAGUUAAAUUUUUUACUGAAAUGACUGUACAGUAACAAAGCUCUCAUUUAUUUCUCUGUGUACAUUAGUCACUGUAUUGUUUCUUUUCCUUGUGGGAGUGAUACCUUGUUAGUUCUACCAAAUAUUUAUGCACUAUGACUGGGUCAAUUUUGUCUUCUUCCUGUGAGAAGGCUAUCCGUUGGGGGCGUAGCAAUUGUUUUCACCAUGGGCCAUGUUUGAUUUAUUCCAUUGCUAGCCAGGAAAAUCGGUUUGAUCAUAUGAAGUUGAAGCUUUCUGGUAAAAUCCCUGGAAAAAAUAAUUAAAAAGUGAAAUGACAAACUCCUAUUUGAAGAGCUCUUUGUACAAAGUUCCAUCACAUAAAAACAUAUAUAUUGCAUGAAAAGAGAGUAUUUCUGAUAGACAUUAUUGAAGAUAGGCCACACAAAAUGAUUCAGAGAAAUUAAGUAAAUCUUUUUUUUUAUUUAUUGUAAGAAGGGAGUUUACCAAUAGCAAUCAGCAAAAUACUCAACUCAAAUUUCCAGGCUUGUGUCCAAACUCUUUGAAUGUGAGCCAUCAUUGUCUGUUUGUUAAUUACACUUUGCAGUAUCAAAAGGUAUUUGCUUACAGCAGCUUAAAUCAAAUAGGACUUAAUUCAGUCAGCUAUCAAACUCCUGUAAAUAUGAUUUAGGUGCUUUUUGAAAUAAUUGAUAGGUGUAGUUUUAUUUUGUCUUAGUAUGACAUUGAAUUAACUCCUUAGACUUCUAGUAACUGCUGUAAUAUUAUUAGGCUCAAAAUUGUAACUGAUGAGAAUUUUUUAAAAUGAUACCUUGAGAAUGCAGAAGGCAAAAGUACUUUGCAAUGGGCAGAACUUUGAAAUGUGGACCAGAAGCAAAUUGAUUUGAUACACCAGAGAACAAGAUAUAAACCCGUAGUCAGCGCACAACCGCGGGCCUGAAAAUCGCGUUUGAAUUAAGUCAGAUGUCUUUUCUCUUUCCUUUGAGUAGCUUUUUAUCCAGAAUCCUAAGUAACGAGCAAGAAAUUGUGUAGCGCAGUGUUUUCCCUUUCGGUAAGGAAUGUUUCAGUUGACAAACGUUUGAAAAUUAAAUGUUUUAAAAUGAGAA